CUGCGAACGGAAGGAAGUGCGAGCCACCACCACAGACGAAGAAGAAAGGGGCGCGCGCGGAAGAGGUGAAGCUUUCGCUGUCACCGUCGCGGGUGGGAUCGUCGCCGUGCUUGGUUCCCGUUGCGGCUGGACUUCGACCGCCGCCGUUCCUGUUGCCGCCAAGCAUAGGUUAGCACCGCCAAAGCUCCUGCCACCAUGGGGACCGUGAAAGGAGGAAGGAGAAGCUGUUUCCGUUAUAGCCAUUCCCGGAGGAGAAGUCAACUGCGCCGCCGUGCCUAGCUACCGGAAAUGCCACUGCCGUUGCCAGACGGCUUUGUCGGUCCCUGCUGCCGCUUGAGGUGGCUGCCGGGCUGCCGCUGAACCGGUUCGGAGACCGUCGCUAUUCGGUUCAGCCAUUCUCCCUCGGUCUUGGGUUGUAUAUCGAUGCUUGCGUGUCGUGCUCGGAGUUCGCGGCUGCUUCGUUUCGCUAGCUCAGUAAGUAAUUUAUGUUUCGAAAAGCCUCGCGUUAGUAUUCGGUUGUGUUUGGUUAAUGAAUAUGAGUUUUGGUAACGUGGGGUCAUUCCUGAUUGUUAUAUGCUGU